CCGGCCUUGACAUCCCUCUGACAGUAUAUGUAAUGUAUAUUUCCUUCGGGACAGAGGAGACAGGUGGUGCAUGGUUGUCGUCAGCUCGUGUCGUGAGAUGUUGGGUCAAGUCCCGCAACGAGCGCAACCCCUGCCCCCAGUAGCCAGCAUAUAGGGUGGGCACUCUGGGGGGACUGCCGGGGAUAACCCGGAGGAAGGCGGGGAUGACGUCAAAUCAUCAUGCCCCUUAUGGCCGGGGCUACACACGUGCUACAAUGGCGUAAACAGAGGGAGGCGAGAGUGCGAGCUUAAGCGAACCCCAAAAAUAACGCCCCAGUUCGGAUUGCAGCCUGCAACUCGGCUGCAUGAAGCUGGAAUCGCUAGUAAUCGCGGAUCAGAAUGCCGCGGUGAAUACGUUCCC
rnacentral:rRNA from 1 species